rnacentral:lncRNA from 1 species
GAGCUGGGUAGAGAAUUGAGUCAUGGUGAAAACAGGGAAGUAGAUGCCCAGAGAGAGAAUGGAGAACAAACAGAGAAGGAAGCCAAGAACAGCCUCCAAGGAGAACACAACAUUCAAGGUACAUGUAAAAGAAUAGAAGCCAGUAGAGAAAGAAGGACAAAUCAGAGGGAAGAAGAGCCAGGAGAUACCUUUCAGAAGCCAUGGUAUUAAACAUCUCUAGUGCCCCAGUUAAGUCAAAUAAGGUGGGAAGUGGAAACUGAUGAAGUUUAUUGGACUUGGUGCUUUCGAAGUCACUGGAAAUUACCACCACAGCAAUUUCAGUAGAUUAGCAAGGUGUUGACUAGAGUACCAUUAAGAGUGAUUGAAAGGUAAAGAGAUGAAGACAACAAACAAAGGCUAUUCUUCUAAGAAAUUUAUCAUGAAGAUAAGAAGAAAAGCAAUGAAAUGCAGAUCGACAUCUUCAUUUUGGACAUCUAGUCUCUAGAACUCUGG